rnacentral:lncRNA from 1 species
GCUUUGACCUGGCAAGGUGACAAGUGAGUCCCACAGGAUCCCUUAGUCAAGGUAGUUUGGCAGCAGAGCCUGCAGAGGACAGCCAGAGAGAGCAGGUGCCUUUGAGACGCUGCAGUCGCUGCCAAGCAAACUCUAUCUUUUCUGCUGCCGUCCCUGGGGAGGGAAGCCAGUGGUUAGCAGACAGGACUUCUGUCUGUCCCUUUACAUGGGCACACAGUAACCAAGCAAUUACAAAGGAUUGUUAAACUGUGCAGCAGAUGGAAGAAGAGGAAGCUAAGGCAGCGUCUCUCCUUACUAAGAAUAAAACUGGAAGCGUGAGAGAGGCUCAGCUAACCAAGUUUCUGCAAGAGGAGGCGUUCAGGGCCCAAGCAGGUCAGCACGUGGUCCAGGUUGGUGCUCCUGUAAGGAGAAAGUCGGGAUGAGUGAGGCCAGAGCCUGCAGGGAGCCCGUCUGGCCAAGAAUCACUAUGGGGUGCUCUGGCUGCGGGUUGGCGGCAGGCAUCUUGCAGGCCUGUGAUGCAAGACCAGGAAACAAAGGGAUUGGGACACCGGUGGCCUCCGUCCUCACUAAAGCUACUUGAACCAACACUGGUUUGGAGGAUGAUGCCUGAGAUUCCACCAGCCCUUGGGAGUCGGGCCAGGACUGCUACGAUCUUGUCUCAAAAGAACAACACGGAGACAGUGAGAUGGCUCAGCAGGUACAAGCGGCUGCUCUUGCAUGAGGACCCGAGUUUGAUCUGCAGAUCCCACAGUGAAAGAAGAGCCAAUUCAAGAUUGUCCUCUGACCCCAACUAAAUGUGACUGCCAUACAGGGAGAAGACAGUUCACAGAUCAUAAUAAAACCUAAAAGGAAACCUAUCUACAUUAAGAUAAAGACUAUAAUAAAGAUGAUAUGUCAAGUUGACAGGGU